rnacentral:rRNA from 1 species
GUGCCAGCAGCCGCGGUAAUACGUAGGUGGCAAGCGUUGUCCGGAUUUAUUGGGCGUAAAGGGAGCGCAGGCGGUGACUUAAGUCUGAUGUGAAAGCCCACGGCUCAACCGUGGAAGGUCAUUGGAAACUGGGUCACUUGAGUGCAGAAGAGGAAAGUGGAAUUCCAUGUGUAGCGGUGAAAUGCGUAGAUAUAUGGAGGAACACCAGUGGCGAAGGCGACUUUCUGGUCUGUAACUGACGCUGAGGCUCGAAAGCGUGGGGAGCAAACAGGAU